GAUGAACGCUGGCGGCGUGCUUAACACAUGCAAGUCGAACGGAAAGGCCUCAGCUUGCUGGGGUACUCGAGUGGCGAACGGGUGAGUAACACGUGGGUGAUCUGCCCUGCACUUUGGGAUAAGCUUGGGAAACUGGGUCUAAUACCGAAUAUGACCACUUCUUGGAUGUUGUGGUGGAAAGCUUUUGCGGUGUGGGAUGAGCCUGCGGCCUAUCAGCUUGUUGGUGGGGUAAUGGCCUACCAAGGCGGCGACGGGUAUCCGGCCUGAGAGGGUGUACGGACACAUUGGGACUGAGAUACGGCCCAGACUCCUACGGGAGGCAGCAGUGGGGAAUAUUGCACAAUGGGCGCAAGCCUGAUGCAGCGACGCCGCGUGGGGGAUGAAGGCCUUCGGGUUGUAAACUCCUUUCGCUAUCGACGAAGCCACUUGUGGUGACGGUAGGUAGAUAAGAAGCACCGGCUAACUACGUGCCAGCCGCCGCCGUAA
rnacentral:rRNA from 1 species